GCGGUAAUACGAAGGGGGCUAGCGUUGCUCGGAAUUACUGGGCGUAAAGGGCGCGUAGGCGGCUUUGUUAGUCAGGCGUGAAAUUCCUGGGCUCAACCUGGGGACUGCGCUUGAUACGGCAAGGCUAGAGUGUGGAAGAGGGUCGUGGAAUUCCCAGUGUAGAGGUGAAAUUCGUAGAUAUUGGGAAGAACACCGGUGGCGAAGGCGGCGACCUGGUCCAUUACUGACGCUGAGGCGCGACAGCGUGGGGAGCAAACAGGAUU
rnacentral:rRNA from 1 species